rnacentral:rRNA from 7 species
CAAAACUUUCAACAACGGAUCUCUUGGCUCUGGCAUCGAUGAAGAACGCAGCGAAAUGCGAUACGUAAUGUGAAUUGCAGAAUUCAGCGAACCAUCGAAUCUUUGAACGCACAUUGCGCCCGCCAGUAUUCUGGCGGGCAUGCCUGUCCGAGCGUCAUUUCCCCCCU